UCUUCUCCCUUUCCUUACUCCUACUCGCGUUCUAGAAAGGUUUUCUAGCUAUUUUUUAUCUUUCCCCAAGGUCCUGCAUAGCCAGAGCCCCUCCAAAGCCAUGACUUUGGCAGGCAGUUAGAAAACUGGCAGUAACUUUCUCCUCAGAGUUUAACUGGUUUCAUAUUGGAAAUGCAUCACCUCAAGUUUCUUUUUCUUAAAGACAUCACCUUUGGAGACAGCAGCAAAUAGGUGGAAAAGAAGAGGAAAAUAUAACUAGAAAAGAGGGAUUGAGAAAAAUUAUUUCCUGGUUCAGUGAUAAAUGACAACCUGCAACAGAAGCAUACACCUCUGUAGUCAUAAGUCUCCCACCUCUUGGGAACUCAGGGAUGGAAGACUGGCACCUUUUGCCUCUUCUCUGCAUACAGACUUGAAAACUAGGCCCAAACCUGCCUCCUCCAGGAAGUCUGCCUGGACUGCCACUCAGUCUGCCCAGAAGAUGCACUGCACACAGAACUUGUGCUUCUCAAUGUUUUUGAGCAUGAAACUGUCCUGGCCCCAGGAGGAAGAGUACUAGAUUCCAAUCUGCUUGCUUAUGGAAAAGGCUAAAAGAAAAUCCUGAUCCCAAGGGGAAAUUUGAGUGUAAUAGUUUCAGUGACGAAGGAUGGGCAAGGCUCCAUAACUGACAUCCAGCCAGCUGAGGAAUGUCCGCUGUUUUAGGAUGAAGUUAUACAGGCCGUUGGACUUCAUGGCAUAAAAGAUAUUGCUGUCUUCGGGGAUCUUUAUCACUGUGGGGUUGAGCAGAGAGCUGGUCAACGGUGCUCAUGGGAGAUCCUUCCAAGCACCCCCAGCUCUGGAAAUCUUCCUCCAGGAAAGACCUGCAAGCCCUCUAGUCCAGCUCCAGCUCCAUCUAGGACACCUCCUGAGGACUGACUGUGUGGUAGACCUGAUACAACACAAGGACUUCUCAUUUGAAAGGGGUUUUGGACCCAGAAUGUCCCAGCUCAGCCUGGAAAUGGAAAAGGCUCACUCUGUCAUGAGGACUGUAGGUCUUUACUGGUCAGGACUCUAGAAGUAGGCUUUCCAGAGCCCAAGGCACCCGCUGAAUGCUGCCUGGGACUCUGGAAAGCUCUGCCUAGGAGCAGGCCCCACCACAGGUUUCCUGGGGCAGGCCUCAGGGGGCCUCCACAUCCUGUUUAUCUUAGGUUCCAAAAAGUCCUUCCUCUGGACUCUUCCCCACCCCUCUCCUCUGGCCUAGAGUGAGCUGUCAGCCAGUGCUGAGAGGACUUGGGCAGCUCUGUCUCCACUUGAAUCUCCCCAAGACUCAGUGUUGAUUUUCUGCAA